rnacentral:rRNA from 1 species
AUACGUAGGGGGCGAGCGUUGUCCGGAAUGAUUGGGCGUAAAGGGCGCGUAGGCGGCGCGGUAAGUCUGGAGUGAAAGUCCUGCUUUCAAGGUGGGAAUUGCUUUGGAUACUGCCGCGCUUGAGUGCAGGAGAGGUUAUCGGAAUUCCCGGUGUAGCGGGGAAAUGCGUAGAGAUCGGGAGGAACACCAGUGGCGAAGGCGGGUAACUGGGCUGCAACUGACGCUGAGGCGCGAAAGUGUGGGGAGCAAACAGGAUUAGAUACCCUGGUAGUCCACACUGUAAACGAUGAAUGCUAGGUGUAGGGGGUAUCGACCCCUUCUGUGCCGCAGUCAACACAAUAAGCAUUCCGCCUGGGGAGUACGGCCGCAAGGUUGAAACUCAAAUGAAUUGGCGGGG